CUUUAGCAUUGAUCCUAGGCAACCAUUACUCACUGGUCCACAAAAGAGUAGUGGCAGAAUUCAACAAUACUUCUAAAUAGAAGUUAGCAAAAAUAACAUUCGAGAGCAGAGCCCUAUAGCACUGUAAACACAAUACCCAUUUCCUCUACGGAUUCAGAUUCACCUUGAAAACUCAAGGUUGCAGCUCUAGUGGAAAGCAGAGAUUGAAAUGUACCCUAUGCUUUCCCUUUAAUUUAGAGGUGCACAACCUGUGCCCCACAGCCCUCAAUGUACAAACAUGGCUCUGAAUCUGUGUGCUUUGAUCAGGGGACUGAGCAAGAUUUUGGUGCCCCAUCAAUAGGCUGGUGUUUUAAAAUUUACCUCCCCUGGUCUCCGUCACAUUUAACCUCUUGGUAUGCUGUGUGAAGACUGAGAAGCAGGGACUAGAGAUGACCUCACAUAACCUGCUCUAUCCUCACACAGAGCCUUG